AGUAACGCGUAUGCAACUUACCUAUCAGAGGGGGAUAACCCGGCGAAAGUCGGACUAAUACCGCAUGAAGCAGGGGCCCCGCAUGGGGAUAUUUGCUAAAGAUUCAUCGCUGAUAGAUAGGCAUGCGUUCCAUUAGGCAGUUGGCGGGGUAACGGCCCACCAAACCGACGAUGGAUAGGGGUUCUGAGAGGAAGGUCCCCCACAUUGGUACUGAGACACGGACCAAACUCCUACGGGAGGCAGCAGUGAGGAAUAUUGGUCAAUGGGCGUAAGCCUGAACCAGCCAAGUCGCGUGAGGGAUGAAGGUUCUAUGGAUCGUAAACCUCUUUUAUAAGGGAAUAAAGUGCGGGACGUGUCCCGUUUUGUAUGUACCUUAUGAAUAAGGAUCGGCUAACUCCGUGCCAGCAGCCGCGGUAAUACGGAGGAUCCGAGCGUUAUCCGGAUUUAUUGGGUUUAAAGGGUGCGUAGGCGGCCUUUUAAGUCAGCGGUGAAAGUCUGUGGCUCAACCAUAGAAUUGCCGUUGAAACUGGGGGGCUUGAGUAUGUUUGAGGCAGGCGGAAUGCGUGGUGUAGCGGUGAAAUGCUUAGAUAUCACGCAGAACCCCGAUUGCGAAGGCAGCCUGCCAAGCCAUGACUGACGCUGAUGCACGAAAGCGUGGGGAUCAAACAGGAUUAGAUACCCUGGUAGUCCACGCAGUAAACGAUGAUCACUAGCUGUUUGCGAUACACUGUAAGCGGCACAGCGAAAGCGUUAAGUGAUCCACCUGGGGAGUACGCCGGCAACGGUGAAACUCAAAGGAAUUGACGGGGGCCCGCACAAGCGGAGGAACAUGUGGUUUAAUUCGAUGAUACGCGAGGAACCUUACCCGGGUUUGAACGCAUUCGGACCGAGGUGGAAACACCUUUUCUAGCAAUAGCCGUUUGCGAGGUGCUGCAUGGUUGUCGUCAGCUCGUGCCGUGAGGUGUCGGCUUAAGUGCCAUAACGAGCGCAACCCUUGCCACUAGUUACUAACAGGUAAUGCUGAGGACUCUGGUGGGACUGCCAGCGUAAGCUGCGAGGAAGGCGGGGAUGACGUCAAAUCAGCACGGCCCUUACAUCCGGGGCGACACACGUGUUACAAUGGCGUGGACAAAGGGAUGCCACCUGGCGACAGGGAGCGAAUCCCCAAACCACGUCUCAGUUCGGAUCGGAGUCUGCAACCCGACUCCGUGAAGCUGGAUUCGCUAGUAAUCGCGCAUCAGCCAUGGCGCGGUGAAUACGUUCCCGGGCCUUGUACACACCGCCCGUCAAGCCAUGGGAGCCGGGGGUACCU
rnacentral:rRNA from 1 species